CUGGAAACGGCUGCUAAUACCUAAUACGUUCUUUUCAUCGCAUGGUGAGAAGAAGAAAGGACGGCCUCUACACAAAGCGGUCGCCGAAGGGAGGGGUUUGCGUCUGAUUAGCUAGUUGGGAGGGGUAACCGGCCCAACAAGGCGACGAUCAGUAGCCGGUCUGAGAGNUUAACGGCCACAUUGGGACUGAGACACGGCCCAGACUCCUACGGGAGGCAGCAGGC
rnacentral:rRNA from 1 species